CACGCUGUAAACGAUGGGUACUAGGUGUGGGUGGUUUCGAUACCAUCCGUGCCGUAGUUAACGCAUUAAGUACCCCGCCUGGGGAGUACGUGCGCAAGCAUGAAACUCAAAGGAAUUGACGGGGGCCCGCACAAGCGGUGGAGCAUGUGGUUUAAUUCGAAGCAACGCGAAGAACCUUACCAGGUCUUGACAUCACCUAGCAAGCCAUGGAAACAUGGCCCUCCUUCGGGACUGGGUGACAGGUGG
rnacentral:rRNA from 1 species